rnacentral:misc_RNA from 1 species
AAAGACACGAUCAUACAUGUGCUGUUUUGCUUUAUCAUCUUUCCAUAAAUGUUCAACAGUAAACUCAUCAACACUUCUGAUGGCAUUUCUUUCCUUUGCUAUAAUUUCCUUUUCACAAAGUGGUCUUAAUCUACAGUAGACUCUGAUCUUGCCUUUCAUAUCUUCUAUUAUGUUGAAAUACUUUUUCCUUAGAACUUGUUCUUCCCGGUAAAGUGCUUCCAUUUCUGCCAAUUGAGCCCCUUGCAUUUUCAAGAUGGCAGCAGUUUGUGCAUUUUUUCGAUCAAUAUCCUCUUUCAUUUCUCUCAGCUCCUCAAGCUCCUUCAAAUUAUUCUGCAGCAUUUCUAGUUCCUUGUCUUUAGCUUCAAGACCAGACUGUGCACCAAUCAAGUCAUGUUUGGCCUCUUCUAGUUUCCUUUGAAGUUCAGAGACUUGGAGUUUCAGCCCCUUGCAUUCUUUUUCAAAAUCUUUCUGAAGGCUUUCCAUCUCAUUUGAUUUCUUCUUUUCUAGUCCUAUGACUUUUUCCUCAAGUGAUGCUUUUUCACUCAAAAGCCUCCUCUUUGUUUCUUCUGCA